ACAGCAGCCUUGGCCAUGUGACCUGGGCAGUUGCGGAUACAUCUGAGAGCCUGUUUUCUCAUCUGCAAGAUUAAACUCCUUACAGAAGUUAACUCUGCAGACUGAGAAGACGUGAACAGAGAGAGUCAAGGGGAGUGAUGACUAUUUCAGAGACAGGAAAGGACAGAAGAGAUGACCAAAGGCACCCCCAAGGGAUCAAGGCACAGAGGAAGAGGGACUUCAUCCACACAGGAGCCUGGCUCCUGCAGGCCAUGGCAUGGCUCUCGGGGCUGCCAGCAGGGCUCCCCAUAGCAUAGGUGUGCUCUGCGGUGGGCCCUUGGGCAGGGUCCUGAGGACAGUGCCAGGGCCAGGCUCCAGUGCAGCACAAUGUUGGGCAAAGGACUCCUAACACAGCCACGCUGGGGCUACUCAACCCGACAGUGGGGAGGGAAGGUGUGGGUGCUCACAAGGCAGGCAUCCAUAGAAGACGCUGCCCAGGUCCAAGUCAAAGAACUACACGUUCUCAUCCGAGCCCUCGGCACUGAAGACCUCCACCAUGGGCUGACCUCUCUCCUGACUGCCAGAUACAGCAAAGCCUGGCUUACCCAGAAAACAGCUGGGGUCUUCUGCUUAACUCAGUUCCAUCAAACUACCCAAGGGGUAACAGAUUCUGGAUGAAUUUUUUAAAGGGUCUCAAGUUAAAUGUUUCAUUCAUGAUUCACAAAAGGCACUUCAAAAUUCCACAGAGCCACAGGGUCACUGUUAGUAGGUCACCAAUCCUCCUGUACAGGACCGAUGGAGAAGCUCUAAGACAAUGGGCUAUGUGUUUCACCUGAUGGGGUCCCUGGCCAUUUGUAAAUAAAUCUCGGAUAUUAGCUAGUUUGUCAUUUAUCUUGCAGUCAAGCAUACACAAAACAGAAAGACACACAGUAUGUUUGCACUUUGAAUAAAUGAGAUUUUGCUGUAUCAUGGCAGUUUAUAAAGUAUUCUCAAGUCUGUUAUUUGACCUAAGAUCCAACAUUAUAAUCGUACAUUUAAGAGGUUACAAUGUGAGAGGUACUCAUUGAGCAGAAUUUUCUAAUAAUCUAAUCACCUUGCCGAUUUGCACCCAGUGUCCAUUUAGAAACAUGAAAUUAAGCUACUGGCACUCAAUUGCCACAUUGCUAGCAUUUAAUAAGGACUCCACUAGAUGGAGGAACAAGGGCUCUCAAACCAAAUAACCAACGACCACAAGCAUUUCCUGUCAGACAAGCCAAGGUCCUGCUGGAGCUGCCUCUGAAGGCAGCCGGCUGAUGGACAGGCCUGGU
rnacentral:lncRNA from 10 species